CGAGGACGCUGGUUAGUCUCGCUUCGGGUUCCGGCUGCGUUGGGCGUGCGUGCAGCUCGCUGAGACUAUGGCGUCCGGGCCUCACCCGACCUCGACCGCUGCCGCUGCCGCCGCCGCCUCUUCGGCCGUCCCGAGUGCGGGCGGCUCCAGCUCCGGGACGACGACCACGACGACGACCACCACGGGAGGGAUCCUGAUCGGCGACCGCCUGUACUCGGAAGUCUCGCUCACCAUCGACCACUCGCUGAUUCCGGAGGAGAGGCUUUCGCCCACCCCGUCCAUGCAGGACGGGCUCGACCUGCCCAGCGAGACGGACUUGCGCAUCCUGGGCUGCGAGCUCAUCCAGGCCGCCGGCAUUCUCCUCCGGCUGCCGCAGGUGGCGAUGGCAACGGGGCAGGUGUUGUUUCACCGUUUUUUCUACUCCAAGUCUUUUGUCAAGCACAGUUUCGAGAUUGUUGCCAUGGCUUGUAUUAAUCUUGCAUCCAAAAUCGAAGAAGCACCUAGACGGAUAAGAGAUGUGAUUAAUGUAUUCCACCAUCUACGGCAGUUAAGAGGAAAAAGGACUCCAAGCCCCCUGAUCCUUGAUCAGAACUACAUUAACACCAAAAAUCAAGUUAUCAAGGCAGAGAGGAGGGUGCUAAAGGAGUUGGGAUUUUGUGUUCAUGUCAAGCAUCCCCAUAAGAUCAUUGUUAUGUAUUUACAAGUCUUAGAAUGUGAACGUAACCAAACCCUGGUUCAAACUGCCUGGAAUUAUAUGAAUGACAGUCUUCGAACCAAUGUUUUUGUUCGAUUUCAACCAGAGACUAUAGCAUGUGCAUGCAUCUACCUUGCAGCUAGAGCACUUCAGAUUCCACUGCCAACUCGUCCCCAUUGGUUUCUUCUUUUUGGUACUACAGAAGAGGAGAUCCAAGAAAUUUGCAUAGAAACGCUUCGGCUUUAUACCAGAAAAAAGCCAAACUAUGAAUUGUUGGAAAAAGAAGUAGAAAAAAGAAAAGUAGCCUUACAAGAAGCCAAACUGAAAGCAAAAGGAUUAAACCCUGAUGGAACUCCAGCCCUUUCAACCCUUGGAGGAUUUUCUCCAGCUUCUAAACCAUCAUCCCCAAGAGAAAUAAAAGCUGAAGAAAAGUCACCAGUUUCUGUUAAUGUGAAGACAGUCAAAAAAGAACCUGAGGAUAGACAACAGGCUUCCAAAAGCCCUUACAAUGGGGUAAGAAAAGACAGCAAAAGAAGUAGAAAUAGCAGAAGUGCAAGUCGAUCAAGGUCGAGAACACGAUCACGGUCUAGAUCGCACACUCCACGAAGACAACUUGGCUCCACAUGAUUUGCUGCUGUUUCCAAAAAAUUCAAAUACACACACACAAGGAGGUUUACUGCCACUAAGGAUGUUUAAAAAAAGUUACAGCUUCGGAAGAGGAUGCCAAAGAUGACUUCCAGAUGUUUCCUCACUGGCAGGCAGUGGUGCUGGUAGGAUAGCUUCACAAGGCGACCACUCUGAAGCAAACGAUUCAUUUGGAUGUAAAAGUCUGGCAGACAAGAGAUCUUCCAUCUGCUGGCUCACUCCCCAAAUGCCUGCAACUGACAGGCGAAGCCCAGGAACCUGGAACUCUGUCCUGGUUUCCCACAUGGAUGGCGGAGACUCAGGUACUUAAGCUGUCAGCUGCUGCUUCCCAAGGUGUGCAUAGUAGGAAGCAGGAAGUGGAAACAGAAGGUAGGACUAGAAGCCAGGCAGUCCACAAGAUGUGAGCAUCGUGCCUGCUGUGCCAAGCACUGGCCCCGUGUGAUACUGUUAAGGCCAGUUUUGAAAAAAAUGGAACUUGAACCGUAGGAAUAGUGAGGGGCUUAGUUUAGCUGGAGAGAUGGAGAAUAUACAUAGGAUUUAAUCAGGAAAACCACUACUACAUAUGAAAAUUGGGAGCAGUAUUCGUUGUGUGCACAUUGAGCCCCUUAUAUCUGGAAGCCACAUCUUGACAAUAAACAUUUGAACUUUGUCCAUCAGGGCAAUGGAAAGAACAUGGGAUUCUAUGUCAGCUCAUUAUGUGACUUGGCAAGGUAUUUAACCUCUUGCUACAAACUGCCUCUUAAAACGGCAUUUUGUAGGUUGUGUAUGGAGCAUGUGGGAGGGAUUUCUAUUUUUACUGCUUGCCAUCCAAAAAUAGUUCAUAUUAGAAGCACCUAACUACUCAGAGAAGUUUGAACUUUCCAUUUCUUAGGAACAUAAUUCAAAAGAUGCCAUGGGGCAGGUGUUUACAUAGUCUAGUGGUUAAGACUGGGUAGCCCUGUGUCCCCAUAUCAGAGUGCCUGGUUCGAACCUUGGCUCUUGCUGAUUCCAGCUUCCUGCUAAUUCAGACCCUGGGAGGCAGCACAGAGUGAUGGUUCAAAUAAUUGGAUUCCUACCACCGACUCAGAAGACCUCGAUUGUGUUCCCAGCUCCCAGCUUUUGCCCCAGCUUCAGCUGUUGAGGGCACCUGGGGAGGGAACCGGCAGAUGAAUGCUUUGUAUCUCUGUGCCUCUAAAAUAAUUUUUUUUGUGGAAAAAAUAUGUUUCAAGAUGCUAGUUGAUUGAGAUCUGAUUU